CACAGUUAUUCUAUUUCUUUCUAUUAUUACGUAUGAUUAUUACACAUUACUUGCCGCCACAAUGGGGAGUGCGUGGCGCUGAUAAAGCAGUGGCGGCGAGUCAGACCGGAACCCAGCGAACGUGGGCCGCGCAGAACAAAACCCGAGGAUAAAGAGCCAUUAAUCAUCUCGGUGGGUCGCGGUAUUAAUGCAAAUCUGCUUGUUUGACUUGCAAAAGUUGCAGAGGCAUUAAAAGAGAAAAUUGCAAUGUGGCAUUGUCCCUCCCCGCCAGGCUGAAGGGAGCUUGCCUCACCACAAUGGCCAAAUGACUUAUCCCAGGCGCCUUGCCCACUAUAUACUAGUCCUUGUCACGGCACGGCGGCGACAUGUCAUAUUCAUCCUGUCAACAUCCAUUCGUAACGCGACUUGGUGUAAAAAUGGUGCCUGAGCGGGAAUCGAUGAAUGCACGCGGUGAUGUCCAUUGUACCGCUGUGUGUGUGUGUGUGUGUGUGUGUGUGUCCCGGCCAUGCAAGUCUUACCUCACUUCGCUCUCACCGUUUACGUCACUCCUCUCCCGUUCUCACUCUCUCUCUCGCUCUCCCUUCCCUGUGCAGGCGACGGCUUACUCUAUUGAUAUUUAUUCAUCUCUAAAUGGAGCUCCCCCUAGUUUUGGUUUGUUUGUUCCCCUCGCAUAAUUUUGCCGGGAAUGUGUUGGGGUUUUGACACCUUUCUUGACUCUGCCGGGCCUCUCCCAGCUGCCGGCCAGGUGCUUGGCUGCAUAAAACAUUCCUAGGCAAACACAGACCCAGCCACAGGUGUGAAAUAUAUCGAGUGGGCAACCAUUACUGGCCACCCAGACACGUUUGCCCUUAAAGCCGGUAAUUAAGGGCCUUAAUGUGUUCAUUUAUGUAUCUACAACGCAAGAGGCAAGACGCAGUGGUGUAUAAUCUUGACGGCUCUUUUUUCUUCCUCUCUUCCGCCGGACCUCAAUUCUGUCGAUCCUUCCGCCAACGUAAUGACGUUUUCCGAGUAUAAAACAUUGACUCUGCUGGUUUUGGUCGUGUGCAUUGUUCUCAUUACAGUUUUGUUAUUACUGGUUCCAUUAUAAUUUGUAGCCACGCUUUUCUUCUUACAGUCCACGACGUCAGUGUUUUGCUGCGACAUCAAUAACCCGACGCGCACUCUGCCUCAUGCAACAUUAAGACAGCCGCUUCGACUCGCCAAUGAAACCUUAGCUCGAAUCCUAGUUUACCUUGAAUUUGUCUCAAAGCCUGAAAACAAUCCAGGGAGGCACGCGGCAAUCGUAACAGCAGGGAAGCAAGGCCUCGUGUUGCAUCAGCGCCCAGACACUCACAGCUGGAUGCACACGUAUGCUGUAGGCAGCUAUAGCAUAGGGGGAAAAAAAUGUAUCCUCGUAUGUAUUCUCCUUAAAAGGUCUCCAGCAGCGCCGUCAGCACCACGGGGCCGAGAUGGCCUGCUGAUAACGCUGACGGGAUAUUCGUCCAGAUAGCAGCUCGAGGAAUGAGUCAGGGGGCCCUUUUUGACAACUACUUAUCUGUUUCCUACUUCAGGCAUGCCUCCCGCAGUGUCCUGGCUUUCCCACCAUUACCUCACCGUGGCCUUGACUCGCGACAGUCUGCAGAACAUCACCAUGGGGGAGAGAUUAGACGACUGACCGAUAUAGUGUGAAUAAGACGAGUAUACGUGAAUAUCAUUUGCUAG